CUUGACCAUGUCUGAUCACCACAUGGUUUUUGGGGGAAGCCCUUUGGAAAAGUGCAGUAAUAAAAAUUCCCAAGGAAAAAGCUCUGACGACAAUUAACCAAUAAGACAUUUUCUCUAGUAUUAAAUAUAAAAACUCUGGAACGAGUGAAUUUUGUAUUUCGGAAAAAACCCAAAAUUCAACAUCUCUGUUCAUGGAAAGAGAGAAACCAUGAUGCCGAUGCUUUGGUUUUGGAGACUUGGAGAUCGUUUGUUAGUUCGGCGACUGCUCUCGAAGUGUGAACACAUCUUAGUAAAAUAUAAUUCAAUUGCUCUUACUUGACCGUCUAUUCAUUUAUUAACCUGGCUUCCAAUUAAACUCUAAUACAGAGCAACAACAAAACACAGAAACAAGUGACAAAAUCCAUGCCCUCUUGACAGAAAGUGCGGACCAUGACGAAAGUCGCAGUUUUGAUCUGCAUGAAGACGGGCUGUUGCAUGGGAAUUCUCCAAGACCCUGAAGAAAAUGGAACCUUAAAAUUUUAAACGGAGUAAAACGAAUCACCGCGGCUGUAUGGGGUUAAGGGGUUAUUCUCAUCUCAUAGUCGCCGACGUGUCGUAAGCGAUUGUCUACCAGGCUUUCAACUUUAAACGCGUUUUUCUCGAAUCAUCAUUUUCUGAAACGGUCAAAGUCCUACAAGAAAAAACAACAUGAACAGCCGCUAUCACCUUGACCAGUGAACUACCUUUUUUUGUUGGGGACUACUUUGACUUAAAAAAAAUAUAUGUUAAAAAUGUAAAAAAACGAAAAAAAAAUUUUUUUUCGUAUAUUUCAAAAUACAAAUAAAAAUAUAUUGAAAAAUCAACAUGAUUGAAGUUUGUUGUCGCAUAAAAAAAAAAUUCCGAAAAAGUGGUAAAAUAUAGGCGUUCACAUGAGAAUAACCCCUUAAGGUAAGGUUUGACCGAUAUUAAUAAGACUCGAACAUUUGGGGAAUUUCAAAGAGUGUAUGCAAUAAAUUGUUUAGCGAAUAGGCAGAUGUUUCCUAGAAAUUAAGUUUGAGGUUUUUUUUCAAUAUUACCGAUUUUAUGUUCCUCGAGAUUGAGAAUAAUUUUCAGACGAAUAAAAAAACCCCAUUCGUGACGGAACAAAGAAUAAUCUCUCAUCUUUGUGAAUGAUCCGGGGCUUUUCACAAUCGGUUAGAUCAUCGAACUGGCUGAUUUAAUCCUAAACGUUCCAGCGUUAUCGAUGAAAUUUAGAGGAACCAUAUCAUCAUAUGAUAAAUAAUAUUGCAUAUUAAAUCACGUGUGGAAACUCGAUCAUAAGAUUAUAUAAUCCUAUAGGGGAUGCUAAUUCCGUGUUAUGUGUUCACUAGGAAAAUUAUUUUCAUUUAUGUUGAGUUCUUUAAAUCUAUGCUCUAGAGUUUUUAGCUCUGUAAAAUGUUUGGAGCCCUCAUCUAGCCACAAAUAUUCCCUGUUGACCCGAGAGAAAUCCUUGAUAUUAAUGUGAGGGAUAUGUCUGGGGUACUUUGGAACCCUAUCUUCGAAGUUACUGAUUAUAUUGCUUCUUUUAUGAUGACGAAUAUGAAUCAGAACUGGAUUGAUCAUUUCAUGCUGAAGCAGACCAACUUUAUUAUAAUAAACGAAAUACUGGCGCUAAUAUUGCUGGACCUCGUUCUACAUUUUGCCAAUUAUUUAAUAGUUUUAUUAUUCGUUUUUAAUUUUAAUUCUAGUAAUUUCGUGCUGAUCUGAGCAUCAAAUUGUCGAUACCGGGACUUCCUGCCCGAUUAUAUAACAUUUUAUGACUAACUUGACGAUAAAAGUUACUGUGAGCUGAUCGAUAUAAAGAUAGGCAUGAUCUCAAGUAAUGUUUUUCGAAAAUCCUCAAACAUUCAGACUGAUGUGCCCCUAAAUUCUAUAUAAUUUCUGAUGGAUAAGUUAACACAGGACGAAUCAAUAAGGGGUAACAGAGAACACAUGUUUUUUGCUUCUGAAUUGUAUUUAACCGAUUUUUUGAGUCUCUAAUUUCAAUUGCAAAUUAUCUCGAAUGUUAUGAAACGCGAAAAAAAGUUAUUUAUAUCACGUUUGUGUGUAUGUACUCGAAAAUUCGC